rnacentral:rRNA from 2 species
UUGUUGGAGAGUUUGAUCCUGGCUCAGGACGAACGCUGGCGGCGUGCUUAACACAUGCAAGUCGAACGAUGAAGCCUUCGGGUGGAUUAGUGGCGAACGGGUGAGUAACACGUGGGCAAUCUG